rnacentral:rRNA from 1 species
UGGGGAAUAUUGCACAAUGGGCGCAAGCCUGAUGCAGCCAUGCCGCGUGUAUGAAGAAGGCCUUCGGGUUGUAAAGUACUUUCAGCGGGGAGGAAGGGAGUAAAGUUAAUACCUUUGCUCAUUGACGUUACCCGCAGAAGAAGCACCGGCUAACUCCGUGCCAGCAGCCGCGGUAAUACGGAGGGUGCAAGCGUUAAUCGGAAUUACUGGGCGUAAAGCGCACGCAGGCGGUUUGUUAAGUCAGAUGUGAAAUCCCCGGGCUCAACCUGGGAACUACAUCUGAUACUGGCACGCUUGAUUCUCGUAGAGGGGGGUAGAAUUCCAGGUGUAGCGGUGAAAUGCGUAGAGAUCUGGAGGAAUACCGGUGGCGAAGGCGGCCCCCUGGACGAAGACUGACGCUCAGGUGCGAAAGCGUGGGGAGCAAACAGG